CAAAAAAAAACACAGCAGCGACUCCAAGAGAGCGAGUGAGAGGAAAGCAGAACGUGACCUCCCAGCAGAGUUAUCAGGCGGGAUCGGUGACAAGGAAAUCAAGAGCAAAUAAUGAACAUAAGGUGUCAGCAGCCGAAAGGUGAAGUCCAUCAGCCUUCGAAAGGAAGAGCAGGGCACACAAUCACCUCACUAACCCCUUGGUGCAAGUUCAGCUUGCUCAACACAGCUUAAACGUUAAUAUGACAUCAGUGGUGUGCAGACUUCUGAAAAGCCACAGUAAGGUAGCUAAUCCUGCACAGAUGGAGGAGCUUCACGUUAGCUGUUUAUUACCACGGUUCCAGCUUUAGAUAAACUGUCCAAAUCCUGACGUGCACCGCUUCCAGCAGCGCUGGGGGCCAUAUAAGGAACUCGCAGCCCCACCGCUUCGGGUUCUGACUCACACGGCCGGCAGCUCACGGUGGGGCAGUGCGGGAGGUUAUUGCUUCCAGCUGCUCCACCGGCCCCUGCCACCCUCAGAGAUGGGCAGGGGACAGGCAGGGGCUGCUCCUGAGUCACCAGGAAAAUGCCAUUUUUCAUCUCAGAUGUUAUAAACGCGGGGAAGCCACCAGAUUUAAGAAACUCCCACGUUGCUCAACUAAUCUGGCAGCAGCGUCCUGGUUAACGUGUUGGGCUCUUCCAGUUCAUCAGUGCAUCAUUAAUGUAAGUGCAGAGCGAGCAGAACAGAGCCCGUGUGAACUGAAAGCAGGAGUUCCCAUCAAGGGAUGGACACCCCAGGAGGAAUUAAGUGACAAAGCCACACAUUGCAGUGCUGAAAAAAUCCCAACUCUUUUCUGACCUCCGCGCAGAAAGCAUUCCUAUUGUACCUCACAUUUCCUGUUUGUGCUAGUCCGCAAUCCGGCUACCAACGAAAGCCUCCCCAGCAGUUGCUCCACUUGGCUCUACCAGCAAGCAAGCAGAGAUCCACGCUUAAAAAACAAAAACACAAACAACUGCAGACAGCCAAAACCCGCUCUGCACUUUUGACCUGUAAGGAAUUUGCUUCCAUUCAUCCCCCGCCACUCUGGAUUUUAACAGACCAUAUGCAGAAAGGCCGUUUAUCGGCCAGUUUUCACACGAGGCGUUUUGAUAGGCAUUAACUCUAAGCUGAUUUUCUGCGCCUCGGUCGCAUCUUUUGCGAUCCGUUUGGUGAAGCGAAAGCAGAUCACACGGAGAUGGCAAGGGCAGCGCGGCUCCAGCCGAGCGCUCCACCUAGUGUCGCUGCUGCCAGCUCAUUCACGUCGCUCUGCAGCAGCAGAUGGACCUCUCCAAGAUGCACAAACAAGAAAUUCCUGACAAGUUACCCGCAGUCAUCUUCUUCUGGCAAUUGGGUGAUUCGUGCCAUUUGUAUUUUAACGUAGGAACGGCAUAAAAGAAAACAUAAGGCUAAAAAAAACCAACCACGUGCUGCUAAAACCAGUAUCUGGAGUCGUUAAUCAUAAUAGUUUUAUUUCCUACAGAACCACAUGGUGAUUACUAUUUUUAAAGUGGUGUUUUUAAAGAAUUGUGAAAAACCUUUAAUGGACUUUGGGAAAAAAAGCCAGCAGACUUGUUUUGAAAGUGUCAGAAUAAAAAGGAUUCUUGGAAGAGUGGCCUGCUUCCACAUUUCUGUGCUGAGACCUGCUCUGUGCCAGCCCUUAGCUCACUGCCAAUUUGCAGACAGAGGAUUGUUUCCCAAAAAGCCAUGUCAAAUUUUACAUUUACUGCUUGCGACAAUUCUGUCCAAGGGGACAGAAUUAAACUAAGAGCCAAUGCAGCAGAUAACGUUAGCUCCUUUAUAAUCUAUAUAGGAAGUUCUCGAAUCACAGAAAUAGCAAUAAAAACCUACGAGCAAACUAACAGGAUUGACCUUUCCCUCCUACACCACAAUGUUUUCAGCGGGAAUGUUCUGACAAUGAACAUUCUGGUGACCCACAAAAUCCAAAUCAGAUGUGAACGGAUAUAAAGCAGGGGCAGUAAUGUGCCCCCAAAGGGAGACUGCUUUGGAUUGUAACCUCUGCUUUAAACACAACUGCUAGUUCCAACUCCUGUCUUCUCAGCUAACCCCAAGAUCUCUCCUGCAACUUGAAUCCACCUCGCUCCACAUUGUGGCUGGCGUGAGAUGCUCCGAAGAAUCCAGACAAAUGACAGUUUUCAACCCUGGAAAAACAGCCACCCAGGCCAGAGUCAUUCCUAUCCUGCAGCUAUUGCAUAACUAUUUCUGCGAGCGAUUUGCCCAGCUAACAGGCUGCGCUUAUGAGCAGCUCGAUACGAAAUAGCUGUGUGCAAUAUGCAGAGGGCUAUAUUUAAGAAAGAUGCACCUGUGUCACAGCUGAAGCAGUUCAGGCACUGCGCGAACAGGUGCCUACAUGCCAUCAAUUCCUGCCCGUUGGCCCUUGAUGGCAGAGACAAUGCUGCAAGCAUCAACAAGAGCUCCGCAGCACAUGGGUGGGCCCGGGAGCAUUGUUCUCUAAGCAUGUAAUUGCAUUCCCAGCAAUCUCACUGUACAUACACAUUUAAAACAAGCAAUUAAUUACGAACAAUUUUAAAAUACUUACUGAGUCUACUUUUUACUGCCUGCAAAUCCAGGCACUAAAGCAGAAGGAUUUUUUUGUUUUUUUUUUAAACUUUUAAUUUCUUUGAAUCAACAUAAUCAAGAGAUGUAAUUAAAGUGCACAGAACAUGUAAAGUAGGUAUACAUUACUGUAAAAUUCAAUUGUGAUUUUACCACCUGAACUAUAUUUUACUUUUAGAGGAAGGUGCUGCACAAUUAAAAUAGCAAAUUAUUUAAAACUCCCCCUUCUGAAAGCCAGAGCUCCUAACUGCUUUGUUUCCAAACGGAUUAAAUACAGAACACUACUAAAUCAGCAGAUAUUAAAGACUGUAUUACUCCAUUGAUAGUAAGUUCCAUAUACAUACUGCUGGCAGAGCUGUAUUGACAAGAAAAUUAUCAGUUCUGCAGCUUAAAAUGGCAACACGCUCUCAGGGCAGUAAGCUUGUGUUCUUACACUCCCACUGCCAUCUAGUGGCACAAAGCCCGUAUGUUCCACCAAGUUAUGAACUGUUCAAUGUUCGGGCACGUUUAGUGCCAAGGAAGUGUAUUUUUUCUGAAUUUACAGUCCUUGCUACUCACUAAAUCUUGCACAGGAGAAAAAAAGUAAAAUGUGUCCUUGCUUCUCUUACUGCGCUCACCGCCUUUAUGCAAUUCCCUCAACAGAAAAAUGCUCAUCUCUAUUGCAUAUUUAAAGCAAACAAACAAGUAUUUCUCCUGUAUUGAUACACAUUAGAAGUUGAUGGUAUGAUUACAUCUUACUCUAUAACCACCUUCUAAUUGAGUGCAGUCUGUUUUUCCCCCCAAAAUUGUGAAAUCUUACCUCUUACAUUCCAAAAAAAUAAUUUCACUACACCUGCAAUAAA